UGUUGUUCGAGGGAGUGGCCGGAUACAGAUCGUGGGUGUUAACGGUCAACGUUUGUUGGACGCAGAGGUAACCGCCGGGCAACUGCUUGUGGUACCAAAGUUCUACAUGGUUGCUAAACUCGCAGGACAAAAUGGGUUGGAGUGUUUCGCUGUCAUGACCAGUUCUCAGUAAGCACACAUUAUUAUUGUGCAAAAUAAUAUUGAAAUUUCACAACAACAUUACUUCAAUUUCAGUAGUAUUUUAUUUAGGGAUAUACUUAAUUGGUAUUAUUUUUGCAGGCCUGUCUUAGAAGACUUAGCUGGGAAGACAUCAGCUUUGGGAGCAUUAUCACCGGAGGUACUACAAAUAGCCCUUAAUAUAAGUCCAGGGCUAGAACAACUUAUCAAGUCAAAGAUUAGAAAGGGGUGAUCGAUCAUGAUCAACGGUUCAACGGCCUAAUUAUAUAUCUCCAUAUAUAUAUAAAAAGGGACACUUUGGAUGCGGUCCCUAGCUAUCAAUAUUCUUUGAUUGAAAACUUGUUAGUUUUUAGUUUUUUAUUGAGGUCCCUGACAUUAAUGUAAUAAUGUAAGUUACUAUAUUUUUUAAAUUAAAAAUUAAAAAUUGAAAUUUGAAAUUUGUAAUUGUUUAUAUUAAUGAGAUUUUAAAUAAAACCCAUAAUUUAUGGGAUUAAAAAUAAUAAAAUAUAAAUUAUACUCUAUUAUAUUGUGUGUGUGUGUACAUAUAUGUAUGGGUACAUUAACCAAAAUUAACAAAAAAAGUUAUUGUACCAAAACAUGGAUACAUUCUCAGAUCAACGAAAAAGAAUGUAUCCAUAUAAGUUUAAACAUGGAUUAAAAAAUUUGAAUGGAUUUUAUAUUAAAAAAAAGGGUACAUUUUACAUAUAACAAAUUGAUAUAUUUGAGAAUGGGUACAUUUAAGAUUAAAAAAAUUGAAAAAUUAUAUGAAUGGGUACAUUUAAGAUUAAAAAAUUGAGAAUCUUUUUAUGUAUAAAAAAAAACUAAUAGGUACAAACUUAAUUUAAUUUAAUGUUUUAUUAUUUUGGAAAUGUUUGAAUUGAAAAUUAAUUAGAAGUUUAAUAGAGGUGUGAGUAUUAAACCCUAAAUUAAUUACUAAUUUUUAUAUUAAAAAAUUAUAUAAUAAACAUGUAAAUUCAUUAUCACAUUAUUGCUAGGGACUUGAAUCAAAAUUUAAGAACUAAUAAGGUCUUAGUCAAUGAACAGUAAGAACUAAGGAUCGGAUACUAAUUUUUUCUAUAUAAUAUUAAUAAGAAGAUCCAUGCAUCAUGCAUGAUAUAUUACUGCAAUGCAAGAGUGAGAUACGGUCUUUCUGUAUGUAAUUUUGACUUCAAGAAUUUUAGCUAUAGCACACCCCUUGUAUUGGUGUGGAUUAAGAUGAAAGAGCACCGACUUCGGUGGCAAUUAUCAGUAGCCACCAUGCAGCCACUGAAUAAGAAUCCAUGUCCUAUGUAAACAUCUUCAUUGUAACAAACGCCACUAUUUCUACAUCCGUGUAAAAAGGUAAUAGUACAAGUCUCAUUAUAUUCGAUCUUUUUAUUUAAAAUAGGAAGUUUAACGAAAAGUUCCUGGAAUUGUUUACUUUAACGAAAAAUCAUAUUUUUACACUAAAAAGUUAAUCAUGAUAUUAUUCACUUUACUAUUUAUUUUAUUUUUAUCAUUAAAACAAAAAGUUUUCAGACACUUUUUAUUAGUUUUCUUUUAUUUAUUUAUAAUUAAAAAUAGUAAGUAAAUCUUGUUAGAGAAAAUGUCCUUUUUGCAUCAGUGUCCAGAUAAGAUGAGAGAAAAUCGGUUACGGUGGUUUGGACAUGUGCAAAGAAGGCCUACUGACGCUCCGAUUAGAAGAUGCGACUAUGGGACAGAGGUUCAGGGCCGAAGGGGUAGAGGAAGACCUAGGAAAACUUUGGAAGAGACUCUAAGAAAAGACUUAGAGUACUUGGAUCUAACGAAGGACAUGACACAGGAUCGAGCACAAUGGCGUUCUAAGAUUCAUAUAGCCGAUCCCACUCAGUGACUUGGAUUUUCCAAGUCUCCAACCGAGAAGUUUUCCUCACUCGGGAAAUUAAGGGAACACUACCCCAACCUACAUGCUCCACUCAGAAAGCUUCAACAUACAAGCUUCAACAUACAAGCUUCAACAAAAGAAAAUUCAAAGAACUUAACGAAGAAGGCUUUGGUGUAUUUAACACAAUACGUUGAAAUGAAGGAAAGCUUAUUUAUUGAUAUUCCCGAUAAGCUACAAAUAUGUACAUAUACAUGAGUCAAAAUAAACACACAAGAGGAAGCCUUCACAAAGGUUGCUUAGGAGAAGUCUCAGCAGUCGGUAGAGCCCCAGAAAGAGAAGGCACCGGAGGGGGAUCAUUUGGAGCCUCAGUACUGGACAGAACCCUAGAAGGAGGAGGCAUCAGAGGUUGAUCAUUUGGAGCUUCAUUACGCGGUACAGCCCCAGAAGACGAAGGCAAUAAAUGCCUUUGGAACAAACCCACAAAUCUCUGAUGAUCAAGUAAAACCUGACCAUCAGUUUCCUUCAUCUGGUCAAGCUUCCUCUUCAUGUUUGUAGCAUAGUCAUGUGCGAGCCGGUGCAACUGUUUAUUCUCAUGCUUGAGCCCUCUAAUCUCAUGUUUGAGACUCAUCACUUCAGCCGCCAAUGAUUCAACUUGGCGGGUUCGAGCAAAUAGGCGUUGGGCCAUAUUAGACACAGAACCUGCACACUGAACACUGAGAGCCAGCGAAUCCUUAACAGCUAACUCAUCAGACCGUUUGGAAAGUAGUCUGUUAUCUUUGGGAGUGAGAAGGUUCCUGGCCACCACCGCAGCGGUCAUAUCAUUCUUCAUCACGGAAUCCCCAACGGUAAGAGGACCAGUAGGGGAGACGAAGGAUGGGCCCAUAUGUUGUCUGGAGAAGGCGGGGCUGCCUCUUCAACAAGGUUCAAGUCAAAACGACGGUCGGAGGGGCCAGACAUUUUCAAAGGUGUUGAAGAGAGAAGAGGUCGGACAAAUCAAGAUCUUAGAAGUGCAAGAAUGAAGCUUCUACUGGUGGAGAUUCAAGUGUGGUUUGGAACUUAAUGCCAGCCCCUAUAAAAAUCUGCACUCGACGGAGCUUCAGAAAUCGAAGAGGCGCCUGCUCAGAAAUCGAAGAGGCGUUUGCUUUCUCAAAAGUUGGGCUACUUAGAGAUCACGAGGGUUGAUCUCAGAAAUCGAAGAGGUGUUUGCUUUCUCAAAAGUUGGGCUGCUCAAAGACCACGAAGGCCGAUCUCAGAAAUCGAAGAGGCGCUCGCUUUCUCAAAAGCUGGGCUCCCCAGAGACCACGAGGGCCGAUCUCAGAAAUCGAAGAGGCACCUACUUUUUCCAACCUUGUCAGCACCUGUCACACGCACACUCAGCUUUACGGAAAUUAUGGGCAUUCUGUCAAAGACUUCUGGGGAAGUAGAAAACACAUGAAUCUUACUGUUCAAUCACCCAUUUCCCACACGCAACAAUAGCUCAUGGGUACCACAGAUAACUUUGCCAAAGUUCUCUCUGCCAAAGUUGAGCACGUGAAGCUUGCAGCUCCCACUACAUCGCUCUGACCAAGAAGGGUAAAAGAAUAGCAAAGAAACAGCACUAACAAAGUUUAGACCCAUAAAUUUUGAAGGUCUAGCUACCAUAUUAUUACCCACAAGGGUAAAGGAACAGUACCAUUGCUGGAUAAUUGGAAAGUCCCUGUGUGUCAACCUCUGUGCUUCGUGGCAAGGUAGACUAGCAAACAUGCCCAACCUUUACUCACAUUCGAGAAAACACUCCCAAUAAGAUUGCUUGCUCCAAAAUCAAAGAGGCACCGCUCUCCGAAUCUCGAGAGCCAGACUCCCAACAUGAUUACUUUCUCAAAAAUCGAAGAGACACUGCUCCCCGAAUCUCGAGAGCCAGACCCCCAGCAUGAUUGCUUUCUCAAAAAUCGAUGAGGCAUCGUUCUCCGAAUCAAUCGAAGAGGCGCUCGCUUUCUCAAAAGCUGGGCUGCUCAUAGACCACGAGGGCCGAUCUCAGAAAUGAAAGAGGCACCUACUUUUCUAGCCUUGUCAGCACCUGUCACACACACACUCAGCUUUGCAGAAAUUAUGGGCAUUCUGUCGAAGACUUCUGGUGAAGUAGAAAGCACAUGAAUCUUACUGUUCAAUCACUCACUUCCCACACGCAAUAAUAACUCAUGGGUACCACAGAUAACUUUGCCAAAGUUCUCUGCCAAAGUUGAGCACGUGAAGCUUGCAGCUCCCACUACAUCGCUCUGACCAAGAAAGGUAAAAGAAUAACAAAGAAACAGCACUAACAAAGUUUAGACACAUAAAUUUUGAAGGUCUAGCUACCAUAUUAUUACCCACAAGGCUAAAGGAACAAUACCACUGCUGGAUAAUUGGAAAGUCCCUGUGUGUCAACCUCUGUGCUUCGUGGCAAGGUAGACUAGCAAACAUGCCCAACCUUUACUCACAUUCGAGAAAACACUCCCAACAAGAUUGCUUGCUCCAAAAUCGAAGAGGCACCGUCCUCUGAAUCUAAAGAGCCAGACUCCCAACAUGACUACUUUCUCAAAAUCGAAGAGAGGGUAAAGGAACAGUACCAUUGCUGGAUAAUUGGAAAGUCCCUGUGUGUCAACCUUUGUGCUUCGUGGCAAGGUAGACUAGCAAACAUGCCCAACCUUUACUCACAUUCGAGACAACACUCCCAACAAGAUUGCUUGCUCCAAAAUCGAAGAGGCACCGCCCUCCGAAUCUCGAGAGCCAGACUCCCAACACAUGAUUACUUCCUCAAAAAUCGAAGAGACACUGCUCUCCGAAUCUCGAGAGUCAGACCCCCAGCAUGAUUGCUUUCUCAAAAAAUCGAAGAGGCAUUGUUCUCCGAAUCUCGAGAGCCAUAUACCACAGACCACUUUUUCAAAGUGCUCUGACAGAGUUAAAACAUGUGAAACUGGCAGCUCCCACUACUGUGCUAUGACCAAGCAGGGUAAAGGAAUAGCAUUACUACUUGUUGUUAGGGAGACUCCUAUAUAUGUCGACCUCCAUCCCCAACGGACAGGCAGACUUGCAAAAAUGCUCAACCCUUCAUCAUAUCUGAGAGGGCACUCCCAACGAAGCCUUUCGAAAUAUUCAGCUUUCUUUCCCCCCGAUAAUACCUCUGCAAACAAGUAUACUAGAGCAAGAAUAUCUCAUAUCAUCAGGGUUAAAAGCAAGAGUAUCCCAUAUCAUGCUUUUUCCCUGUCUUUUCUUUUGGCCUUGUUUUUACCUGCAAGACAAGGAGAAAGAGAGCAAUCAGUCAGCACUUGGAAUCAAGCUUCCAGCCAGGAACUGACUGCCUGGAACCCCUUACCUGAUUACUUACCUGGCAUUGCUCUCGAGUACUCAUCUUCAACAUCUUAUGUUUCCAGGGAAGAUUCCGCAUCUGCUUGAGGAACAGAUAGGGCAAGUGCGAAGGAUACAAGGAAGCAUGUGGAGACAAGCGUAACAGCACACGUGCCGAUACAUCCAUUACUCUGUCAAAAGCAAAAGUAUCCCAUAUCAGCAGGGUGGAACGUACUCUAGAUUUGAUGGACUUGUUUUGACCCUCAAAUUCUUCAGUCGGCCUUAUACUCUGGAGGAAACCAAAAAAACCCUCCAGCUCAGUUCAAGAAUAAGCCUGUGGAACGUUACUUCUUCAAAAGCAAAAGUAUCUCAUAUCAUCUCUUCUCAUUUUUCUUCUCUUUAUCCUUCAUGCUGCUGCAAGAUGGGGAGAAGGUGAACAAUCAGUCGGAGCUCUGAUUGCUUACCUUGUCUGUCACCUCUUUCAGCAGACCCCCUAGCUCGGCGACUUGGGGGACUCCUACUACAUGGUUUGUAUCGCGCUUGACCAAGCCUGAAAACUACAAGUAAGCUUCAAGUGAAAUUGAUACAUUUACCUUGUGCAUCUCCACCAGUUAAAGAUACCACCCCUGGAUGGAGGAAGAGUACUUCCAGAGAAGAUGCCACAUCUACCUAUGAGACAGAUAAGGCAAGUCAAGACGACACCACACUCCGAUACUUAGAAGUUUCGUGAUUACGAGAUCAUUCUCCCACAAUAUUUCCUAAUGUCAUUUGUACUAAAAUCAUUCACUUGUACUCACUAAAGGAGAGCUUGAACCUAUGUACUUGUGUAAACCCUUCACAAUUAAUGAGAACUCUUCUAUUCCGUGGACGUAGCCAAUCUGGGUGAACCACGUACAUCUUGUGUUUGUUUUCCUAUCUCUAUCCAUUUAUAUACUUAUCCACACUAAUGACCGGAGCAAUCUAGCGAAGAUCACAAAAAAGCGACCGUUUUUGCUACCUAGGAUCUAUCUUGCAAGAGAACGGAGAAUUAGAUGGAGAUCUCAACCAUAGAAUACGAGUUGGAUGGAAAGAGUGCAUCCGGCGUGUUGUGUGACCGUCGUAGGCCACUGAAGCUCAAGGGAAAAUUUUAUAGGACGGCAAUAAGGCCAGCGAUGUUGUAUGGCACAGAAUGUUGGGUGGUGAAGCAUCAACACGUACACAAAAUGGGUGUAGCGGAGAUGAGGAUGCUUCGUGGGAUGUGUGGGCACAUGAGAAAGGAUAAGAUUGGGAAUGAGGAUAUCCGAGGUAAAGUAGGAGUAGCCGAAAUUGUAGGAAAGAUGAGAGAAAAUCGGCUCCGGUGAUUUGGACAUGUGCAAAGAAGGCCGUCUGACGCUCCGGUUCGAAGAUGUGACUACGGGACAGAGGUUCAGGGCCGAAGGGGUAGAGGAAGACCUAGGAAAACUUUGGAAGAGACUCUAAGAAAAGACUUAGAGUACUUGGAUCUAACGGAGGACAUGACACAAAAUCGAGCGCAAUGGCGUUCUAGGAUUCAUAUAGCCGACCCCACUUAGUGGGAAAAGGCUUUGUUGUUGUUGUUGUUGUUGUUGUCCAGAUUGCUUUUUAUUUAUUUUUUUAUUUUUUAUUUUUUAUUUUUUAAGACGGGAGUAGGAUUAUCCUCAUCUAUUCUUAUCCCUUUCCCUCCUUUCCUUUCAUAUAUUAUUUUUUGUCAUAUUAUUUUUAUAAAAAAAUUAAUAUAAGAUAUUGACGUGAUUAUACCAUAACCGUUCAAAUAGAAGAGAAGAGAAAGAGAUUAAGAGGGAAGAGAAUCCUCCUCUUUCAAAAGGGCACCCACUGAGCACCCAUUGCAUUGUCUAAUCCCAUUAUUAAUGUCAAUGGCUUUUGAUAAAAUUAAUAUUUUUGCAAUUAAGUCCUCCAAGACAAACUUGCAAUCAAGUCCUACAAUUUCAAAGCGGACAAGGAUUGUCUGCCCUCCCUUUUUUCCAUGCCAUUCCAUGCCCUCCUGUUUAUGUGGUCACGGUUAAGUCACGUCAACAUUUUAUAUUACUAUUCAUUUUUAUCUUAUUAUCUUUAUAAAAAAAAUAAUAUAAAAUGUUAACAUGGCUUAACUGUGACCACACAAAACAGGAGGGCAUGGAAGGACAUGGAAAAUAGGAGGGCAGACAAUCCUUGUCCUUUCAAAGCAUACUUCCAUCCAUACCUGGGCAAAAUUAUAAAUUAAAAAUAAUAAAAACUUGAAAGAUAAUAUCACAUAAUCAUACUAAAUUUAAAAUAGUAUAAAAACAACUAAAACUAAUUAAAAUCUACCUUCAUAAGAACUUCAUAGUUCAUAUCUGAAUAAAUCACUUAAGAUCUGAUUGUUAAAUCAUCUUCUGCACUUCUUUCUUUCCAUCAAAAAAGUUAACAACGCAAAAAAACCACAAAUAAACAUCAUAAUUUACUUAAAAGAGCAGCGAAAAUUAAGUUUUUAGUCAGAAUGAAAAAAAAAAAGAAAAAUGAUUAUAGCGAAAACAGAAUAGUUAUGCCUAUCCGUGCAUCCUCCUCAAUGCCAAACCUUUUUGUACUCAACACUUUUCACUGUAGAACAACAAACUAUCGUAUGAAUUAACAAAUAAUUGCAUGCAGAGGAGACCCAAGCGAGAUUUGAAAACAUACAUUCAGAUCUUAGAAGAUAUGAACUCAAAGUGGGAAAAAACUCGGACCUGAUUUGAAAUUGAGGAAAAGGAAAGAGCUCUCACAAGUGGAGAGAGGAGCUCUCACAAACGGGAGAGAAAAACUCUCACCAACUCCUCUGCAAUCCAAAAUAAAACAAAGGGGAGAGAGAACUUUAUCUCUGAAGGAAAAACACAAGAGAAAGAGGAAAUCACGAAGAGAGAUGUGACAGUGAAAACAAAGAGAGAGAAGAAAGUAAAAGAAAGAGAGAGAGGGGGAAAAACAAAGGAGAAAAAGGAAAAUGAAGAGGGAGAGUUAGCUCAUUAGAUUUGGGCACAAUAUAAUAACAAUUAAAAAACUUAAUAAUUAUUAUUUUGACAUUAAAAGAAUCUAAUAAUUAUUAUUUGAGAACUUUAACGAAAAACUCAUGGUACUGUUCACUUUAACGAAAAACCACAUUUUUACACUAAAAAGUCAAUUUUGGUACUAUUCACUUUACUCUUUAUUUUGUCAUUUUCGUUAAAACUCAAAGUUUUCAAGCCAUUGUCAUUAGUUUUCCUUUAUUAUUUUGCAUGUAUAAAGCAAAAUAAUGAAUUUAUAGGUUAUAUAUUUGAAGAAUGACAUUAUCAUCGGUGUUGGAAAGCCUAAAGGACACCAAACAUACACAACGGUGCAAUCGACUCUUAAAAAGACACUGAUGGUGAAUGGUGUUCCCAAAACAGUGUCCUAUGUAUGGCCUGUUUUCUAGUAAUGUUUUUUGAAUAAAAUUUGUGAAUGGAUCACAAUGACAAUGUAAGAAUUCACUAUUGAUAAAAUACAAUACACUCUCUGUUUGUUCAAUAAAAUUCUGUGAAUGAUGACGAUGACAAUUGUGUACACAUAAAUCCAUUUCACCAAAGCUGAGACUUGGCAAGUAGAGAUUAUGAGCCCCGCUCUCAUCUUCCCCUCUUUCCUUCUUUCCCUCUUCUCAUUUGCAUCUUGUCUCUUUUCCCUUGCUCUUCUCUUCCCCUUGUAUUUUCUUCAUAUGUUUUAUCUGUUCCAUUUUCUUCUCUUUCUCAAAUCAAACAAAAUUGGUCAAACUAAGCUGAAUCUGAACCGAACUAGUUAUACCAUUUAAAUUUUAUCUUCCAUUUUUUAGGGUGAAGCAAAUCGAACCAAACCGUUAAUUAGUCAGUGUUUAAGCAUGUAUAUAGGGAAUCCAUUAUCGAACACAUCUGCUGACUUCAUGCUCUUUGUGAGCUCUAAAUUGUUUAGUUAGUAUAUAUGCAUUAAGAUAUAUUUUCGUAGUCACAUUAUUCAAACCACUGAAGUUGUAAUUCGUCUGAUUGGACUUCGUUUAAUGAAAUUUCUCUACCAUAUAUUGACAAAAAAAGAAAAAAGAAAUGCAUGUAUUAUGGCCGAGAGCUAAGUUAUACACACGACAGUGAAACAAAUAAUACUAUGUACCUAGUCCUCUCCAUUGCAGUAGAUCUUUUUUCAUGUACCCGGAACACGAGCUUGUACAUUACGUGUCAUAAGAGUGUUGAAUCCCACAUCGACCAAGUAAAAGAAAAGUAAAUAGUUUAAAUAUCUUAACCACACCCUAACUAACACCGAUGCCAUUU
rnacentral:lncRNA from 1 species